rnacentral:rRNA from 1 species
UACGGAGGGAGCUAGCGUUGUUCGGAAUUACUGGGCGUAAAGCGCGCGUAGGCGGCUUUGUAAGUCAGAGGUGAAAUCCCGGAGCUCAACUCCGGAACUGCCUUUGAGACUGCAUCGCUUGAAUCCGGGAGAGGUGAGUGGAAUUCCGAGUGUAGAGGUGAAAUUCGUAGAUAUUCGGAAGAACACCAGUGGCGAAGGCGGCUCACUGGACCGGUAUUGA